rnacentral:rRNA from 1 species
GAACCGUGCGAACGUUAUUCGGAAUUACUGGGCUUAAAGGGUGCGUAGGCUGCACGGAAAGUUGGGUGUGAAAGCCCUCAGCUCAACUGAGGAAUUGCAUCCAAAACUGCCGUGCUUGAGGGAGACAGAGGUGAGCGGAACUCAAGGUGGAGCGGUGAAAUGCGUUGAUAUCUUGAGGAACACCGGUGGCGAAAGCGGCUCACUGGGUCUCUUCUGACGCUGAGGCACGAAAGCUAAGGUAGCAAACGGGAUUAGAUACCCCGGUAGUCUUAGCUGUAAACGAUGAGCACUUGAUUGGAGGGUCCUCCAUAGCCUUCCAGUCGUAGCGAAAGUGUUAAGUGCUCCGCCUGGGAGUAUGGUCGCAAGGCUG